GGGUGUUCAACGACAAAAUACAACAGUCUAAAGAUGGAACGGAAUAACAUAAGAAUGCUCUGCCUUCUAGCUGCAUUGAUGUUCGUGUUAAUCACGGACGUUGAGGGUGGUCAAUCGAACAAUGGCCCUCCCAAAGGCCACCACAACGGGGGAGCCUCAUUGGGAAGUUUACACUUCGGGAGUGUAUUCGGGAUUGCGAUCGGCAUUGGAAUUUUCAUGCGGUAUUUUCCGCUUGGAGAUAAAAUACAUCACACCUAAAGAUGUCGAGAGAUACAACACAUCAUUACAGAGCUCAGAAGAUAUUCAUCGUCUCCCGAAUAUCAGACUUGUUUGUUUACCAUAAAACAUACAGAAACGCAGGUCGUUUCUAAACUGACACUAAUGCAUAUGCAUUUUCCCAACUUUUUUGGUGUGUUUGUGAUUUGGCAAAAUAUAACUUCUAGUUGAUGUCUUUGAUAGACUUUAUAUAUAAUUUGCUACUGAAUAUAAUGAAUUUAAUUUAAUAAUAAGAGGUUGCACCUAAUGUUAAAUCAACCUGUGUAUAUUCCGUCUUUUCGUAUUGGAGAGUUAUCCGCUCUUGUGAGCAGGUAUUGAUUGUUACAUCAUU